UACGUAGGGUCCAAGCGUUAAUCGGAAUUACUGGGCGUAAAGCGUGCGCAGGCGGUUCGCAAAGACAGGUGUGAAAUCCCCCGGGCUUAACCUGGGAACUGCGCUUGUAACUAGCGGGCUAGAGUACGGCAGAGGGGGGGUGGAAUUCCACGUGUAGCAGUGAAAUGCGUAGAGAUGUGGAGGAACACCGAUGGCGAAGGCAGCCCCCCUGGGCUAGUACUGACGCCUCAUGCACAAAAGCGUGGGGAGCAAACAGGA
rnacentral:rRNA from 1 species